rnacentral:rRNA from 1 species
CCUACGGGAGACAGCAGUGGGGGAUAUUGCACAAUGGGGGAAACCCUGAUGCAGCGACGCCGCGUGUGGGAAGACGGUCCUCUGGAUUGUAAACCACUGUCCCCAGGGACGAAGAUGACGGUACCUGGGGAGGAAGCUCCGGCUAACUACGUGCCAGCAGCCGCGGUAAUACGUAGGGAGCGAGCGUUGUCCGGAAUUACUGGGUGUAAAGGGAGCGUAGGCGGGACUGCAAGUUGGGUGUCAAAUCUACCGGCUCAACCGGUAGCCGCACUCAAAACUGCAGUUCUUGAGUGAGGUAGAGGCAGGCGUAAUGCCUGGUGUAGCGGUGAAAUGCGUAGAUAUUAGGAGGAACACCAGUUGCGAAGGCGGCCUGCUGGGCUUUUACUGACGCUGAGGCUCGAAAGUGUGGGGAGCAAACAGGAUUAGAUACCCGGGUAGUC